rnacentral:rRNA from 1 species
GUACGUACAAGCAGUGGGAGCACAGAGCAAUCUGUGUGACUGCGUACCUUUUGUAUAAUGGGUCAGCGACUUAUAUUCUGUAGCAAGGUUAACCGAAUAGGGGAGCCGAAGGGAAACCGAGUCUUAACUGGGCGUUAAGUUGCAGGGUAUAGACCCGAAACCCGGUGAUCUAGCCAUGGGCAGGUUGAAGGUUGGGUAACACUAACUGGAGGACCGAACCGACUAAUGUUGAAAAAUUAGCGGAUGACUUGUGGCUGGGGGUGAAAGGCCAAUCAAACCGGGAGAUAGCUGGUUCUCCCCGAAAGCUAUUUAGGUAGCGCCUCGUGAAUUCAUCUCCGGGGGUAGAGCACUGUUUCGGCAAGGGGGUCAUCCCGACUUACCAACCCGAUGCAAACUGCGAAUACCGGAGAAUGUUAUCACGGGAGACACACGGCGGGUGCUAACGUCCGUCGUGAAGAGGGAAACAACCCAGACCGCCAGCUAAGGUCCCAAAGUCAUGGUUAAGUGGGAAACGAUGUGGGAAGGCCCAGACAGCCA